AGCACACUGAGCGAGCGGAC
rnacentral:miRNA from 1 species